rnacentral:lncRNA from 1 species
GAGGAUGCUGGAGUGGUUUGUGUGUCCUGCUUUGUAUGCUACUGCUGGGUGCUGUGAGGGGAAUUCAGGCGAGCUCUGACCUCGCGACAUGUCUAGGGCUCUGUCUGGCCAGAGGCUGGAAGGACAGAGCUAGGAAGGCCUCACUGUCUGAGCCUUUUGAUCUUUGAUCCCUUAAUGGAGGAGCUGUUACUUUCCUGAGAACUGGUUUGGUUGUAUUAGCCAAUGAAGGACGUUGGAAUCAGAGCUACACUGAGGAGCCUGUAAGACCUUCCUGCAUGAAAAUGUGAGGUUGAAGCCUGAGUUGCAAUUUGAGACCAAAAGAUGCUGAUCCAUCUGAGUGAUGAGACAUCUGCAGGGACCGCUGUGUGUAGGGAGUGGAAGUAACCAAAGAGGAAGAUUUAUGAGAAGUUGAAGGAGCAGGGCCAUCUAAGUCCUUUGAACCUGAUCUGCAUGAGUCUGAGACACAGCUACAGGAUUGGGUGUUUGUCCUGCUGGGGUUCUGUCUUGCUUUGGUUUAAUCUUCUCUAACUUUAUAAUUCCUGUCUUUUGGAAUGGGAAUAUGUAGUCUAUGCCACUGUAUGCUGGAAAGGUACAGAUUAUUUGCUGAUUUUACAAGAUGUAUUAGUGAAGAGACUGCCUUGACUGUCAACUGAGAGUUUGGACAUUUGAAUAGGGUACAUGUUGUUGCAGAAUAUGGGAACCAGUAAAGUUAGACUAUAAAUAUGUUCAUCCUGCGAUGACCAUGAACUUACAGUGACCAGAGUCAGAAUGCAGUCAAUUGAAUGUAAAAUCUUCCUAUCUGUGAUGAUGCCUUUGCACAUCAUUUGUCCUUAAUAACUGUUUGCAGGGAAGUCUUUGAAGCUUGUGUAAGAGGAAAGUUUCUAGAUGAAAGUCCUCCUUGAGGAUAGGAUUGGAGUGUUCAUAGACCCAUUUCCUGUUCUUUGUGUCCACUGGUUUGUUGUUAAAAGUGACCAGUCAGCUUCUUUCUCAUGCUGUCAUCAUAUUGACUCUAUCCAUAAAUCAAAUAUGAUAGUGUAGAAGCAAUUCCCAUUCAGACCUACCUGAUUUUGCUAUGUCUAGUUUUUAUAGUUUUAAUUUUGUUGGGUUUUUUUUUUUUUUUUUUUUUUUUUUUUUUUUUUUUUUGAAGACAGGAUUUCUCUGUGAAAUCCUGGAUGUCCUAGAAGAGUUAUGUAGACUAGAAUGGACUUACAUUUAGAGAUCUACCUAUGUGACUCUUCUCGGCAGAGAUUAAAUAUGGGUCAAGAUGCCUGGCUUUUAUUGUUUCAGGGCCGGGAAUGGAUUUUUUUUUUCACAUGACAAGAAUGUAUGGUUGUUUUGUGUUUCAGUUACAUCUUGAAUAAUAAAAUUUGCCAGAGAGUAUUAUUC